rnacentral:sRNA from 1 species
UUUUAAUAGUUGAGUAUUAUAUUGUCUUAACGCGACUAUUAAAAUAUUUUAUAUUAACAAAAAUAGCUCGUUCAAUUAUUCUAUAUGAAUUUAAUGGGUGAUAUCUCCACGCAUUAUUCUAU